GGGCCUAUAGCUCAGUUGGUUAGAGUGUACGCCUGAUAAGCGUAAGGUCAGUAGUUCAAGUCUACUUAGGCCCA
rfam:Micromonas sp. RCC299 mitochondrion, complete genome.